rnacentral:rRNA from 1 species
AUUGAACGCUGGCGGCAGGCCUAACACAUGCAAGUCGAACGAGUGGCGGACGGGUGAGUAAUGUCUGGGAAACUGCCUGAUGGAGGGGGAUAACUACUGGAAACGGUAGCUAAUACCGCAUACUAUCAGAUGUGCCCAGAUGGGAUUAGCUUGUUGGUGGGGUAACGGCUCACCAAGGCGACGAUCCCUAGCUGGUCUGAGAGGAUGACCAGCCACACUGGGACUGAGACACGGUCCAGACUCCUACGGGAGGCAGCAGUGGGGAAUAUUGCACAAUGGGCGCAAGCCUGAUGCAGCCAUGCCGCGUGUAUGAGGAAGGCCUUCGGGUUGUAAAGUACUUUCGGCAGAGAAGCGUUACCCGCAGAAGAAGCACCGGCUAACUCCGUGCCAGCAGCCGCGGUAAUUC